rfam:Stegodyphus mimosarum contig114161, whole genome shotgun sequence.
GCCUUCGUGGUGUAGAGGUCAGCACGCUCGGCGCGUAUUCCAGAGGUCCGUGGUUCGAGUCCCGGCGAGAGGCA